rnacentral:misc_RNA from 1 species
AAGGAGUCUAACAUAUCUGCGAGUAUUUGGGUGUCAAACCCGAGUGCGCAAUGAAAGUGAACGCAGGAGCCACGCGCAAGCUGCAGCAUCGACCGGUCUGGAUCUUUAGUGAUGAAUUUGAGUAAGAGCAUAUAUGUUGGGACCCGAAAGAUAGUGAACUAUGCCUGAAUAGGGCGAAGCCAGAGGAAACUCUGGUGGAGGCUCGUAGCGAUUCUGACGUGCAAAUCGAUCGUCAAAUUUGGGUAUAGGGGCGAAAGACUAAUCGAACCAUCUAGUAGCUGGUUCCUGC